rnacentral:rRNA from 1 species
ACAGUCGAGCGAACAGACAAGGAGCUUGCUCCUUUGACGUUAGCGGCGGACGGGUGAGUAACACGUGGGUAACCUACCUAUAAGACUGGGAUAACUUCGGGAAACCGGAGCUAAUACCGGAUAAUAUUUCGAACCGCAUGGUUCGAUAGUGAAAGAUGGUUUUGCUAUCACUUAUAGAUGGACCCGCGCCGUAUUAGCUAGUUGGUAAGGUAACGGCUUACCAAGGCGACGAUACGUAGCCGACCUGAGAGGGUGAUCGGCCACACUGGAACUGAGACACGGUCCAGACUCCUACGGGAGGCAGCAGUAGGGAAUCUUCCGCAAUGGGCGAAAGCCUGACGGAGCAACGCCGCGUGAGUGAUGAAGGUCUUCGGAUCGUAAAACUCUGUUAUUAGGGAAGAACAUACGUGUAAGUAACUAUGCACGUCUUGACGGUACCUAAUCAGAAAGCCACGGCUAACUACGUGCCAGCAGCCGCGGUAAUACGUAGGUGGCAAGCGUUAUCCGGAAUUAUUGGGCGUAAAGCGCGCGUAGGCGGUUUUUUAAGUCUGAUGUGAAAGCCCACGGCUCAACCGUGGAGGGUCAUUGGAAACUGGAAAACUUGAGUGCAGAAGAGGAAAGUGGAAUUCCAUGUGUAGCGGUGAAAUGCGCAGAGAUAUGGAGGAACACCAGUGGCGAAAGCGACUUUCUGGUCUGUAACUGACGCUGAUGUGCGAAAGCGUGGGGAUCAAACAGGAUUA